rnacentral:rRNA from 1 species
CAUGCCGUAAACGGUGGGCGCUAGGUGUGGGGGUCUUCCACGACUUCCGUGCCGUAGCUAACGCAUUAAGCGCCCCGCCUGGGGAGUACGGCCGCAAGGCUAAAACUCAAAGGAAUUGACGGGGGCCCGCACAAGCGGCGGAGCAUGUGGAUUAAUUCGAUGCAACGCGAAGAACCUUACCUGGGCUUGACAUAUGCAGGAUCGGCACAGAGAUGUGUUUUCCCUUGUGGUCUGUAUACAGGUGG